rnacentral:rRNA from 1 species
CCUACGGGUGGCAGCAGUGAGGAAUAUUGGUCAAUGGACGAGAGUCUGAACCAGCCAAGUAGCGUGAAGGAUGACUGCCCUAUGGGUUGUAAACUUCUUUUAUAUGGGAAUAAAAUGUUACACGUGUGGGAUUUUGUAUGUACCAUAUGAAUAAGGAUCGGCUAACUCCGUGCCAGCAGCCGCGGUAAUACGGAGGAUCCGAGCGUUAUCCGGAUUUAUUGGGUUUAAAGGGAGCGUAGGUGGAUUGUUAAGUCAGUUGUGAAAGUUUGCGGCUCAACCGUAAAAUUGCAGUUGAUACUGGCAGUCUUGAGUACAGUAGAGGUGGGCGGAAUUCGUGGUGUCGCGGUGAAAUGCUUAGAUAUCACGAAGAACUCCGAUUGCGAAGGCAGUUCACUGGACUGCAACUGACACUGAGGCUCGAAAGUGUGGGUAUCAAACAGGAUUAGCUACCCCGGUAGUC